GAUGAACGCUGGCGGCGUGCCUAAUACAUGCAAGUCGAGCGAACGGACGAGAAGCUUGCUUCUCUGAUGUUAGCGGCGGACGGGUGAGUAACACGUGGAUAACCUACCUAUAAGACUGGGAUAACUUCGGGAAACCGGAGCUAAUACCGGAUGAUAUUUUGAACCGCAUGGUUCAAAAGUGAAAGACGGUCUUGCUGUCACUUAUAGAUGGAUCCGCGCUGCAUUAGCUAGUUGGUAAGGUAACGGCUUACCAAGGCAACGAUGCAUAGCCGACCUGAGAGCGUGAUCGGCCACACUGGAACUGAGACACGGUCCAGACUCCUACGGGAGGCAGCAGUCGGGAAUCUUCCGCGAUGGGCGAAAGCCUGACGGAGCAACGCCGCGUGAGUGAUGAAGGUCUUCGGAUCGUAAAACUCUGUUAUUAGGGAAGAACAUAUGUGUAAGUAACUGUGCACAUCUUGACGGUACCUAAUCAGAAAGCCCCGGCUAACUACGUG
rnacentral:rRNA from 1 species